ACCAUUUAAGAAGCCUUUAUAAGGGAGCAUGUCCUUCUCUAUUGGGAUGUUAUGUGAUUAUCUUAUUUAUGUUAUUUCUCCAUAGUUACUGAUAUAACAGUGACUGGCUUUCCGAGGAUGAAACCCCUUGGAAAUUCAAAGGUUCGAUGGAAACCCAAUCUUCCAUGAGAGGUGGAUUCAAUCAUAAUUCACUACCUGGGCUUUAUUUGCAGAAGUUUGGUUCUCUUUUGGAAACAGUUAGCAGGGAUGGUGAUUAAGUAUAUUUGACAUACCAAAUUUGAAAGGAAACUAAUGCAAAUCCUUGACUUAUUCUACGACCAACAUUGAGGAUGUUUGGCUCCCUUCUAAGUGCCGAUCAUAGCAUUUGUAUAACAAAGAAAACGUCAUAAUUGCAGGCACAUGAGAUCCAUCCACUACUUAGCGCUGCUGUUGAAAAUUUCCUCCUGUAAACACAGAAAGCCAUAUCGGCUUACCUUCUUGGCCUAGCAAAUGAUUCGAUUGUGCUUUAUCUGGACUGGGUCACACGUCAGGUUUAUAGACUGGCAAUCUGAACCUUAUUGGGCAUUCAUUCUCAGCGAGCUUGCACUGUGAAGUGAUAUAGUGGCUUAGGAGAAUCGUGGGUACUUUCAACCUGAGGUGUCGUGUGAAUACAUGCAAUGAAGUCACUGUGCAAUUCAAGCAAAGUCUCAGACCUUGCGGUGACAGUGAAGCUUAUUGCGGAGACAAACUGACCACAUUGGAGUACUUUGUUGUUACCAGACAACUAUUUGACCAAAUGUCUAUUUGUGAACUUGUGGAAUUUUGAUAAGAUUUGAGUUCAAAACUAGUAAGGAUUCUUACAGUGGUAUCAGAGCUUGGAUCCUGCCAUCCUUUGGGUUUGCUUCAGUUUGUUUAUGCAGCCAAGUGAUAGAGAAAGGAGGUACUAUCAGAGAGAACUAAGAAAAUUUGGCAACCCCCUCAAGUACUUGAAGGUAAAAUAGUGUCCGGAAUCCUAGGUGCUAAACAAGGCUCAUCUUCAAAUUUUGCAAAGAGUAUGGGUGACAGGAGAGAUAACAGUCCACCACGAAAUGAUGAUGGCAGGGAAGCAAGAGACAUUAUGAGAGGAAUUCAAGUAGGACAGGAGUAGGUAGCCAAUGUAUUACAACAACUUACAUUUGCCAUCCAGCAAUUGAGUACUACACGCAGGUGACCACAAUGCAACCAAGCAGAUGGUGACAAUAUGGUUGGAUCCCCAUGAGCAGAAAGAGCUCCUACAUGCUCUACGGAUAGGCCUUCGAUGCCAGAAGAAGAGGUGAACAAUGUUGAUGGGGACAUAGCAUUUCCGAAUAAUGUGAUGACCAUGCAUGAUGGGUGGAGUACCCUUCCACAACAUGUUAGAGCAGAUUUGCCCUUCACCCAAUACAUGGGACAACAAAGGAAAAGUGGUAGAACAAGACAAGAGUGGAGGCCAUGGCAAUAAAACAAAGACCUCAAGCAAGCUACUAAUAAACUAACUCUUCCCACAUUUGAUGGAAGUGGAAAGACAGGUGCAAGGGCAUGGAUUCACAAAGUGGACACCUUCUUGACUCUCAAGCCAAUAAAGGAAGUAGAUGCAAUCAAGUUUGCAACCAUGUAUCUAGAAGGGGUAACUUAUGAUUGGUGGCACCAUGGGUUGUAACACAAGACCAUGGAUUAAUACAUUCUUAUGAAGAGUUUAGUAACAAGUUGAUUGCACGCUUUCACAGGAAAGAUGUGGAAGUGUAUUACAGAGAGCUAACACAAUUAAGGCAAGUUGGGUCCUUGGAUGCCUACAUUAAUAAGUUUCAAAAAAUUGUUGUUAGUGUGAUGCAGGAGCAUCCCCGGUCAAUGAGCAAUCUUGCAUCAACAAAAAAUAUUUCCUUUCAGUUUAGUUCUUGUUCAGUUUUGUGUCGAAUUUUUUGUGUUCCUACUGGUAUGUUCUGGUGGUGGCUUGUUUUUCAUUGCAGAUCAGGUUUUCGGUUUCCAGGCUUGUUUAUGUGCUUAAUUCCAGCUUUUCAGUCCAUUUGGAUUUUUUUCUGGCAAGAUACUGCUUCCAGUUUGACUGCUUUUGGGUUCCAGAGCAGUUUUGGGCUUACCAGUUGGUUUUCUUCUUUUUCGGAGCAGUUUUGGGCUUAUCGGUUCGUUUUCUUAUUUUUCGAAGCGAUUUCUUAGCAUGUGGAUCUAUUUUGGGUCUUGCUUAAUGUUCCUAAGUCCUUGGUCGACCAACCUGUUGAUCCACACUUCUCGGUUGUUCUUUACUGGAAGAAUUCCUUUCAUUCUUGGGGCUGACCUAUUUACACGUUUCAUUUUUUCUGCAUUGGUAAAUGUAAUCUUUUGUGGCCGACCCGAAUAUGUUUCGGAAGGUAUAUAUGGUAUUAUGUAAUCAUUUGUAGGGCAGUAGAUCAGAAUGAGAUUCUAGAUUCAUGAUUAGAGAUUCAAAUGACUUUGAGAGUUCCAGAUGGAUUGUA